GCACUCGCUUGGCAGCACAUACGCUAAAAUUGGAAUACAGAGAAGAUUAGCAUGGCCCCUGCGCUAGGAUGACAUGCAAAUUUGUGAGGCGUUCAUCUUUUUA